GACGAACGCUUGCGGCGUGCCUAAGAAAUGCAAGUCGAGCGAGAUUUUACGCUGUCCAAAGCUUCGGCAGAGGACUUGUAAAAUCUAGCGGCGAACGGUCGCGUAACACGUAGGCAACCUGCCCUAAAGUAUGGGAUAGCCCGCCGAAAGGCGGAUUAAUACCGUAUGUGAAUACUCUUUCGCAUGUUUGAGUAUUUAAAGCAGCAAUGCGCUUUAGGAUGGGCUUGCGGCCUAUCAGCUAGUUGGUGAGGUAACGGCUUACCAAGGCGACGACGGGUAGCUGGUCUGAGAGGACGAUCAGCCGGAUUGGGACUGAGAUACGGCCCAGACUCCUACGGGGGGCAGCAAUUAGGAAUCUUGCGCAAUGGGGGAAACCCUGACGCAGCGACGCCGCGUGAAUGAUGAAGUCUCUAGGGAUGUAAAGUUCUGUCCUACAGGGAAGAAACAAAUGACGGUACCUGUAGAGAAAGCCCCGGCUAACUACGUGCCAGCAGCCGCGGUAAU
rnacentral:rRNA from 1 species